rnacentral:rRNA from 1 species
CCUACGGGUGGCUGCAGUGAGGAAUAUUGGUCAAUGGGCGAGAGCCUGAACCAGCCAAGUCGCGUGAGGGAGUACUGCCCUAUGGGUUGUAAACCUCUUUUGUCGGGGAGCAAAAGCCGGACGUGUCCGGCUGUGAGAGUACCCGAAGAAAAAGCAUCGGCUAACUCCGUGCCAGCAGCCGCGGUAAUACGUAGGGGGCAAGCGUUAUCCGGAUUUACUGGGUGUAAAGGGAGCGUAGACGGCAGUGCAAGUCCGGAGUGAAAGCCCGGGGCUCAACCCUGGGACUGCUCUGGAAACUGUAAAGCUGGAGUGCGGGAGGGGCAGGCGGAAUUCCUGGUGUAGCGGUGAAAUGCGUAGAUAUCAGGAGGAACACCGGCGGCGAAGGCGGCCUGCUGGACCGUAACUGACGUUGAGGCUCGAAAGCGUGGGGAGCAAACAGGAUUAGAUACCCUUGUAGUC